CCAAAUAGUGUCCUCUUCUCGUCACAAUGGGAUUCAAUGAGUUCUAGCUGCUGUUGCGAGGGUUCUUGCAGCAAAUCGUCCGUUGCUAUACUGGUUGCUUGGCUCUAUUUUACCUCGCAGCGGUCGUGAAGUAAGGAGGACGCCGGCAAUUCUAGUUCUAUUUCACCGCAGAAGCCCUCGCUCAGUCUUAACUAGCUGUCUUUGCUGGACAGAGAGAGGCCCAUACAGAAAGAGGGAGAGAAAGAAAGUGGCAGAGGGAGACAGAAGUGGGAAGAGCGUGAAAGACGGAGAGAUGAAAACUGAGGUGAGACGGAACAUCAACAAGGCGCAGGAUAAGCAGAAGGAGAGCUACCGGAGGAGAAUCAAGAAGGGGACCAAGUGCUUCAACAUCCGGGCGAAUGACUUGGUUUGGAAGAAGGACGAAAGGAAGGCGAGACCCGGGAAAACUCGUUGCUCUUUCGCGCCUAGCUGGGGUCAUCAUCUGUUAAGAUGAAUGUGCGUGAAUUUGUCUGUCCAUCGUGACUGUCAUUUGUUUUGUCUGAUGUUUUCCCCACCCUUGUUUUCACUGCUUGGCUGGCUCCCCACCUCAAGACGGUAGAUAUUUUGCUACAUUGUAUCUUGUUGUAAAUUGUAUGUUAUUGUAAAUAAAUAAACUUAAUAACCUG
rnacentral:lncRNA from 1 species